UACGUAGGGGGCAAGCGUUGUCCGGAAUCAUUGGGCGUAAAGCGCGUGUAGGCGGCCAGAAAAGUCCGCUGUGAAAACUCGAGGCUCAACUUCGAGCUGUCGGUGGAAACUUUCUGGCUAGAGUCCGGAAGAGGAGAAUGGAAUUCCUGGUGUAGCGGUGAAAUGCGCAGAUAUCAGGAAGAACACCCGUGGCGAAGGCGGUUCUCUGGGACGGUACUGACGCUCAGGUGCGAAAGCGUGGGGAGCAAACAGG
rnacentral:rRNA from 1 species